rnacentral:rRNA from 1 species
UACGGAGGGUACAAGCGUUAAUCGGAAUUACUGGGCGUAAAGCGCGCGUAGGCGGUCUUGUAAGUCGGAUGUGAAAUCCCCGGGCUCAACCUGGGAACUGCAUUCGAUACUGCUCGACUAGAGUAUGGAAGAGGGAAGGGGAAUUCCGGGUGUAGCGGUGAAAUGCGUAGAGAUUUGGAGGAAUACCAGUGGCGAAGGCGGCCCCCUGGCACAACACUGACGCUCAGGUGCGAAAGCGUGGGGAGCAAACAGGAGUUAGAUACCCUGGUAGU